UACGUAGGGGGCAAGCGUUGUCCGGAAUUAUUGGGCGUAAAGCGCGCGCAGGCGGUCAUUUAAGUCUGGUGUUUAAUCCUAGGGCUCAACCCUGGGUCGCACUGGAAACUGGGUGACUUGAGUACAGAAGAGGAAAGUGGAAUUCCACGUGUAGCGGUGAAAUGCGUAGAGAUGUGGACGGAACACCAGUGGCGAAGGCGACGUUUCUGGGCUGUAACUGACGCUGAGGCGCGAAAGCGUGGGAGCAA
rnacentral:rRNA from 1 species